GUAGUCAUAUGCUUGUCUCAAAGAUUAAGCCAUGCAUGUCUAAGUAUAAGCACUUUAUACUGUGAAACUGCGAAUGGCUCAUUAAAUCAGUUAUCGUUUAUUUGAUAGUACCUUACUACAUGGAUACCUGUGGUAAUUCUAGAGCUAAUACAUGCUAAAAACCUCGACUUCGGAAGGGGUGUAUUUAUUAGAUAAAAAACCAAUGCCCUUCGGGGCUCCUUGGUGAUUCAUAAUAACUUAACGAAUCGCAUGGCCUUGCGCCGGCGAUGGUUCAUUCAAAUUUCUGCCCUAUCAACUUUCGAUGGUAGGAUAGUGGCCUACCAUGGUGGCAACGGGUAACGGGGAAUG
rnacentral:rRNA from 1 species